GGAGAGGCUAUAGCUCAGUGGUAGAGCAUCUGCUUGGUAUGCAGAAGGUCCCGGGUUCAAUCCCCAGCAUCUCCA